rnacentral:rRNA from 1 species
GACGAACGCUGGCGGCGUGCUUAACACAUGCAAGUCGAGCGGUAAGGCCCUUUCGGGGGUACGACGAGCGGCGAACGGGUGAGUAACACGUGGGUGACCUGCCCUCAGCUCUGGGAUAAGCCUGGGAAACCGGGUCUAAUACUGGAUAUGACUCCAUGACGCAUGUUGUGGGGUGGAAAGCCUUGUGCGGCUGAGGAUGGGCCCGCGGCCUAUCAGCUUGUUGGUGGGGUGAGGCCUACCAAGGCGACGACGGGUAGCCGGCCUGAGAGGGCGACCGGCCACACUGGGACUGAGACACGGCCCAGACUCCUACGGGAGGGCAGCAGUGGGGAAGUCUUGCGCAAUGGGCGAAAGCCUGACGCAGCGACGCCGCGUGAGGGAUGACGGCCUCGGUUGUAACGUACUU